UUUUUGAAUUUUUUUUUUUUUUUAGGUUUGGGUUGUCUCGAGUUUCAAAAUAGCAACGGUUAAAAAAGUGAGAUGUAAAAAACUUUUAAAAUUCAAAUUUAGAGAUACAGCUGGACUCAACCGAGCGCGUUGGUUUGACUGUUGGAGACAAUAGCACGGCACCGUUUAGGGCUUUGUCACUUCUCUCCCAUCACAGCCAGUGUCCCUACUGACACGUGUCCCUUUAAACGGUGCAAAUUAUGCAAAUUACAAAUUAUGUCAAAAAAAAA
rnacentral:misc_RNA from 1 species